rnacentral:rRNA from 1 species
AAAGACUGACGCUCAUGCACGAAAGCGUGGGGAUCAAACAGGAUUAGAUACCCUGGUAGUCCACGCUGUAAACGAUGAUCACUCGUUGUUGGCGAUAUACAGUCAGCGACUGAGGGAAACCAUUAAGUGAUCCACCUGGGGAGUACGGCGGCAACGUUGAAACUCAAAGGAAUUGACGGGGGCCCGCACAAGCGGAGGAGCAUGUGGUUUAAUUCGAUGAUACGCGAGGAACCUUACCUGGGCUUAAAUGCAGGACGACGUCUGCCGAAAGGCGGAUUUCCUUCGGGACGUCUUGCAAGGUGCUGCAUGGUUGUCGUCAGCUCGUGCCGUGAGGUGUCGGGUUAAGUCCCAUAACGAGCGCAACCCUUAUCCUUAGUUGCCGUCAGGUCAAGCUGGGAACUCUAAGGAAACUGCCUACGCAAGUAGUGAGGAAGGUGGGGAUGACGUCAAAUCAGCACGGCCCUUAUGUCCAGGGCGACACACGUGCUACAAUGGCCAGUACAGAGGGUUGCAAA